AGCAGCCGCGGUAAUUCCAGCUCCAAUAGCGUAUAUUAAAGUUGUUGCAGUUAAAAAGCUCGUAGUUGAAUUUCGGGGUCAAUAAGUUGGUCAUGCCAAUGGUAUGCACUGGCUUUAUUGAUUCCUACCUCUUGACGAACUGUGAUGCCAUUAAUUUGGUGUUGCAAGGAAUCAGGACUGUUACCUUGAAAAAUUAGAGUGUUUAAAGCAAGCUUACGCUUGAAUACAUUAGCAUGGAAUAAUGAAAUAGGACGUUUGAUCCUAUUUUGUUGGUUUCUAGGAUCGACGUAAUGAUUAAUAGGGAUAGUUGGGGCAUUAGUAUUCAAUUGUCAGAGGUGAAAUUCUUGGAUUUAUUGAAGACUAACUACUGCGAAAGCAUUUGCCAAGGAUGUUUUCAUUAAUCAAGAACGAAAGUUAGGGGAUCGAAGACGAUCAGAUACCGUCGUAGUC
rnacentral:rRNA from 1 species